rnacentral:misc_RNA from 1 species
UACGGAGGGUGCGAGCGUUAAUCGGAAUUACUGGGCGUAAAGCGUGCGUAGGCGGCUUGGUCAGUCGGAUGUGAAAGCCCAGGGCUUAACCCUGGAAUUGCAUUCGAUACUGCCAGGCUAGAGUAUAGUAGAGGAAAGUGGAAUUCCCGGUGUAGCGGUGAAAUGCGUAGAUAUCGGGAGGAACAUCAGUGGCGAAGGCGACUUUCUGGACUAAUACUGACGCUGAGGUACGAAAGCGUGGGGAGCAAACAGG